UACGUAGGGUGCGAGCGUUGUCCGGAAUUAUUGGGCGUAAAGAGCUCGUAGGCGGUUUGUCGCGUCGACUGUGGAAACCUACAGCUUAACUGUGGGCUUGCAGUCGAUACGGGCAGACUUGAGUUCGGUAGGGGAGACUGGAAUUCCUGGUGUAGCGGUGAAAUGCGCAGAUAUCAGGAGGAACACCGGUGGCGAAGGCGGGUCUCUGGGCCGUAACUGACGCUGAGGAGCGAAAGCGUGGGGAGCGAACAGG
rnacentral:rRNA from 1 species